GACAGAGGGUGCAAACGUUGUUCGGAAUUACUGGGCGAAAGCGCGUGUAGGCUGCUCUGCAAGUCGGGUGUGAAAGCCCCGGGCUCAACCUGGGAAGUGCACUCGAAACUGCAGAGCUCGAGUCCUGGAGAGGAAGGCGGAAUUCUCGGUGUAGAGGUGAAAUUCGUAGAUAUCGAGAGGAACACCGGUGGCGAAGGCGGCCUUCUGGACAGUGACUGACGCUGAGACGGCGAAAAGCGUGGGGAGCAAACAGGG
rnacentral:rRNA from 1 species